AUAUACUUAGAAAUCCAGACUCAUUCAUCUAGUUUCAUCAUUCUGCUGCCGUCGUUCCUCAUGGUGGGAGAGAGAGCUCUUCGUUCUUCCUCCGUUCACUGCCGCAAAGGAGACUGUUGGCGCCGUUGACACCUCUUUCGCCACCGCUGAUGCCUCUGACGCCACCAACGGAGGCACCCACCUUGACCGAACGCAAAUCUCUUCCUAUCCUCCCUUGCGCAACUGCUGUGGAAUGACCUCCGAAAUCCUGAGUCAUCGUUGCAUCACAGAUCGGGUUCGAUAUUUUUUUUCCUAAGUUAGUGUGGGUUUUCCUAAAAAAGCUUAUUGGCACAAAAAAAAAUCUCCACUGUAAUUAGCUUGAGAAUCCCCUCUGCAUUUCUUCCGCGAGCUCCAUGGCAGCAGCAUGAAUGGCAUCUGGCGAUGAAGAUUUAUCAGCAAGUUCCUGGCGUUCCAUAUCUUCCAGAUGAUCAUUGCUACAAUUGCUAUCUGCCCCAUUCAAUUUUGUUCAUAACCGAAAUUAUUUGUAAAUUAUCAACAGAUUUUCUUUGAAUCAACGAGUUCUAAUUUUUCAAAUUGGUUAUGGUUUGAAAUUGUGAGAGGAAGAGAACUUGGUCUACUAAUCGAUCGCAGUUGUC
rnacentral:lncRNA from 1 species